GACAGAGGAGCCAAGCGUUGUCCGGAUUGACUGGGCGUAAAGAGCGUGUAGGCGGUUCGGUAAGUCUGUCGUGAAAACCCACAGCUCAACUGUGGGCUUGCGGUCGAUACGGGCAGGCUGGAGUUCGGUAGGGGAGACUGGAAUUCCUGGUGUAGCGGUGGAAUGCGUAGAGAGUCCGGAAGAACACCGGUGGCGAAGGCGGCCUG
rnacentral:rRNA from 1 species